AGGCAGUUAGCUCAGUGGUAGGGCAUCUGCCUUGCAUGCAGAAAGGAAAACAGACAAGGGAGGAACUGUAUUUUUUUUAAAAGACUGAUCACUGUCUU
rnacentral:tRNA from 1 species